UCCAGCUCAUCGCUGGCAGUCCCACUAGAGUGCCCGGCAUCCGAAGAUCCGCUGGCAACUAGCAGCAAUGGUUGCGCUCGUUUUGGCACUUAAGCCAACACCUCACGGCACGAGCUGACGACAGCCAUGCAGCUCCUGUGAAGGUUCUCGAUUGGUUACGAGUCCUAACCCUUUCAGGUUCGUACUUCCCACAUGUCAAGCCUGGGUAAGGUUCUUCGAGUAGCAUCGAAUUAAACCACAUGUUCCACCGCUUGUGCUGGCCCCCGUCAAUUCCUUUGAGUUUCAAUCUUGCGACCGUACUCCUCAGGUGGGGCACUUAACGCGUUAACUGCGGCACCGAUUCCUCAAGGAAACCGACACCUAGUGCCCAUCGUUUACGGCUAGGACUAC
rnacentral:misc_RNA from 1 species